ensembl:lncRNA
CUACAUUGUGUCUGGCCUGUUCACUGCUGUGUUUCCUGUGAAAUGCACUGUAUUUAGAACAUGAUAGAAACUUUAAAAACAUCUAUAGAAUGCUGAAUGAAUCAAUGAAUAAAUUGACAAGCCACACUUUCCUUCUUUUUAGUCUUAGUGCAGUCUUUGCUUAUUUUAGACUUUAGUUUUUAGUCUUAUCAGGGACAAAAUCACAUGGUUAUAAUAAAUCAUGCACAUGGCACCUGCUUCUUUCAGCUAACAGUCUGUAAUAUUGACUCAGUAUUUAUCUCACAUGUUAAUUAAUGAAAAAUAUAUAAACCACCAUAAUUCUAGACAGUGCACUACAUUAUACCAUAGAGUAAAUUAGUUAAAGAAGUGAUCGAUCUAUUAACACUGCACCCCCUGUACUCUUUGUUCUUGAGUCUACAGAGUCUCUGAGUCACCCUGGGGUUUAUCAGUUACACAAAGGCUGCUGUGGCUUGAACGUAGAACACUUUUAAUAGAACAAACCAGAGGUUACUUCAGGCCAUUUCAGUCUGGGCCAUACAAAUCUUUUCCCCUUACUUUGAGAUAUAAACCAGCCAGUAUACUCUCAACUGAUUGCAGCAGGAAAAGUACAGCCUUGCAGUCUCCCAGACUAUUCUCUGAGGUGCCCUGAGGUAACAUAGUGAAUUCACAGGGAGGCUGUAGGAUUAAUUUUGUUUUUUUGGGUGAAGAAAUAAAUAGUUAACCGAUUACUCUGUAAACUAUUGGCUCAAGGUAGUUCAUAGUUUCAGUAUUAGAUCACUGCAUUCCUUUUUAAUGAUGUCAUGUCUUUGCAAAGCUGGGCGUUUGGGGUUUUCUGUCCUUAAAAGAAUAGUUACAUACAAAAAUUAAUAUGGAGCAGGAAGUGGGGUGGCUAGUUCAAACUCAUUUCAAAAGUUUGAGAAGCUGUCCUGUGCCAGCAACAUACACAUAUUUUGUUAAUAAUUGUGGUUAUUUAAUAAUGAAAUGAAGACAUUACUUUCCUAUGAAUUUAUGCCUUUUUUUUUUGGAAUGGUUACCAAGUUGUUGGAACAUAAAUACUUAUUGUUUGGAUCAACCUAUUUAACAGAUGGGACUCUCAGGUAUUUCUCUUGGCCUAGGAGUGCCAUGGAAAAUUUUUAAGAUACCAGGAUGAAUGAGAAAGUUUGAGAACCUCUGGUUUAGCACCUUAGGCUUCUAGCAAGAAGAAAAGGAGAGAGGGAACCAUCUUGCUGCCAGCUCCAGCUUGGCCUAUUUGCUGCCAAGCAUCUCACCUAAGUUUGUGCCACCUAGCACUCUGUGAACCAUUCCUGCAAAUGAUUGGGUGAAUUUGCAAAUUUAACAGGUAUUAAUGAGCAUGCUUAUAUUACAACUGUGCUCACAGCCUUUCUUACUAGUGGCCAGUGUUACCUCCCUCCCAGGAGAGAGUGACAGUAUUUUCUCUCCCUUGAGCACUGUGCCACAGCUCCUAGAAUCAGGUUCAGAUUUAUGGUUAGGGAGACUUUUUGGACUAACUUGGGUCUCUCCUCCAACCAUUCAUUUCUGUUUUUUAUUUUCCUCUCCAUGGCAAUGUAUUUUGAGCACAGGACAACUACUUUACAUGUGAGCUUUCAGAGCACAGUCCUUUGUAAUGUUUGGAUCAGUGGAGAGCCCUCUCCAGAGAUGAUAUUAGAGGAUACAGUUAGUUGUGUAUUUAGCCUUUAAAAACUUAAGAAAGCCAUAUCUGUUCAUAGAAGGAGUAUGGUGGUUUCUCUGUGUGUGUGAGAUUCAAGAAAAAGGAGUGUAAAAGAUCAUUUCAUAGGUUCAUGAGCAGUGCCAUGUGAUUUGAGACUUUGUGAAUUGGAAUAGUGCUUGGUGAAAUUGUGGGUUUAUGCCAUUGACUAAGGUGAAAGACAGAGUGAGUGAAUUGCAUGAUGUGGCUUUGUCCAUUUUGCUCAGGAGUUUUCUAAGAGCUCAGAAUGCCAGAAGUUUACUUUCACUUUUGUGCCUUGUUUUAGUGAGUGCGGUAACCUUUUUGAAUCAUCUCCCAGAUCACUUGUCACUUUGUUCUUGAUACUGGACUUCUCAGUCUUAUGCAGUUACUCUGAGUAGUGGGAAGAUGUUUGGUUUUCUCCUGUCAUACAGAUAUUCUCCCCUAUCUCUGUCUGUUUCUUCCUCAUUUCCACCUUUCCAUCCACACUUUCACCAUCCCUUCUGUUCUCUUUCCAUCUCAAUCUACCCCUCCCUUUCUUUCUACUUUACCCCCCCACCCUACCUUUCUUCCCUUCUCCUCUACCCCAAUAUCUUCUCUACAUUGCUUCCAUCCCAGCAGAGUUCUUCACCCGCAUGUCUCACUCUCAAGUACCCCCAAGGGAAAGAUGUUCUCAUGUUGAAUAGUGGGAAUUUACCCCAGACUUGAAUUGAGCAUCAAAGCUUUUUGAUAUUUUCUGUUUUGAACUUGUAGAUGGGACACAGAUGAUCGCUAUAAAUGAAUUUUACUCUAAGAUGAGUUAUUCCUGUUGUGGCUCAGUAGUAAAGAACCCAAAUAGCAUCCAUGAGGAUGCGGUUUUGAGUCCUGACCUCACUUAGCGGGUUAAGGACAUUGCUGUAAGCUGUAGUGUAAGCUGGCAGCUGCAGCUCUGAUUCGACCUCUAGCCUGGGAAAUUCCAUAUGCUGCAGAUGUGGUCCUAAAAAUACACACACACACACAAGUCUCUAAUACUAAGACUACAUUAUCUCUAGAGCGGCACUGCUAUAUAGAAAUACAGUAUCCACAAAAAUGAGCCACAGAUAUAAUUAAAAAACAUUUUUUUGGCCAUGCCCACAGUAUGUGCAAGUUCCUGAGCUAGGAAUCGAAUGUACUCCAUAGCAGUGACUUGAGCUGCACCAGUGACAACACCAGAUCCUUAACCCACUGUGCCACAAGGGAACUGCUAAAAUUUUUUUAGUAGGCACAUGAAAAAGUAAAAAAAGGAGUUCCCGUCGUGGCGCAGUGGUUAACGAAUCUGACUAGGAACCAUGAGGUUCGGUCCCUGCCCUUGCUCAGUGGGUUAACGAUCUGGCGUUGCCGUGAGCUGUCGUGUAGGUUGCAGACGUGGCUCGGAUCCUGUGUUGCUGUGGUUCUGGCGUAGGCCGGCGGCUACAGCUCCGAUUAGACCCCUAGCCUGGGAACCUCCAUUAUGCCGAGGGAGCGGCCCAAAAAAUGGCAAAAAG